GCGAUAAUAACUCAGUUGGGAGAGUGUCAGACUGAAGUCAAACUUCAAUCUUUGAAAUCUGAAAGUCCUGCGUUCAAUCCGCAGUUGUCGCA
rnacentral:tRNA from 1 species